CUGAAUUAUCCAAAGUAUCAUUUACUCUGCACUAGAAACUCUUAGAUAUCUGAGUUUCUAUAUUUCUAUUAUUUAGAAACGGCACUUUAGGUGUACGAACACAGUUCAGACUUCGGAUCCAUUUGGGAUUUCAAAAAACUUAAGCGUAAAUAGCUAAUUUUGCAUGUCGUCUGAGAGGGACACGUGUGCCAAUUACUUUGUGUACUGCACUUAUAUUUAUUUAUUUAACUAUAUAUAUAUAUAUAUAUAUAAAUCUAUAGUAGUACUUCACAACUUACAAUUUGUGUCUCAUUCGCUGGUUAGAAGACCAUCUUUGUCUCUGAGUAUCUAAACUCUCUUCUACUUUUUUCUGUUCUUCAAUCUUUCAAAUUGUGAAAUUGCUUGAUUGAUGAGUCUGGUUUCUUAUGGCGUUAACUAUUGUACUUGUAAAUUUCUGCUAGAUUUUACUUCAUUCUCCUUCUUUCUUUCUUGCACUCAUUUUUUGGUGAUAUGAUUUUGAUAGAUCUGAUUUGGUUUUCUUCAUAUUUUGGAUUUUUUCUGUUGAAUCUUUUACAUGCAGGUUAGUAAUUAUAUAUCUUUUGUUAGUAGUCUUCAAAAGUGGAAUUAAGACACAAUUCCUCUGCAAUUUCUUCUUCUCCAGCCUUCGUUCCCCAUCUCUGUUAACUUUCUCAAUUCUUCUGCGCUUUUAUUUCUUCUUCUUUCUUUUGGUGUUGAACCUACAUCUUUGAGUUUUUCCCUUCUUUUCUGUCUCCUGAUUUUGCUUGCUAUUAAUCUUCCAUUGGAUAUAAAUUUUUCAUUCUUUUUAACAAUUUCUUGCUAGAUUUUUACAUGCAUGUCCGGAAUUAUAUCUCGCUUUUAAUUACAUGUUUGGAAUUGGAAUACUGAGUCUUAUGAAGAGAGUGUGCUGGACGGUCUAAUAAGCGCCAUUUUGUCGCAGAACACCACUGAAGCUAACUCUCAGAGACCUUUUGCUUCCCUCAAAUCCUCUUUUCCAACCUGAGAAUCUGGUACAUCAAAAUCUCCCUAUGCUCUGGUUUUUGGAAUGCAGAAAAAUGACUACUAAGUUGGGUAGUGUGUACGCAGACUUUACAUCGGAUAGAGAGACUGUUUCCGAUAGACCCUCGGCUCCUUUUCAUCCCAAACCCCACUAGUGAAAUUAUACUGGGUUGUUGUUUUUGUUAUCUUUUGUUUAAUUGAUCACCUUAUUACGCUAUUUCAUAUCAACCUUAUAAUAAUUCUUUCAUCAA